UGGGGAAUAUUGCACAAUGGGCGCAAGCCUGAUGCAGCCAUGCCGCGUGUGUGAAGAAGGCCUUCGGGUUGUAAAGCACUUUUCAGCGAGGAGGAAGGGUAGUGUGUUAAUAGCACAUUGCAUUGACGUUACUCGCAGAAGAAGCACCGGCUAACUCCGUGCCAGCAGCCGCGGUAAUACGGAGGGUGCAAGCGUUAAUCGGAAUUACUGGGCGUAAAGCGCACGCAGGCGUUAUUUGAUGAUCAGAUGUGAAAUCCCCGCGCUUAACGUGGGAACUGCAUUUGAAACUGGCAAGCUAGAGUCUUGUAGAGGGGGGUAGAAUU
rnacentral:rRNA from 1 species